rnacentral:rRNA from 1 species
UACGAAGGGGGCUAGCGUUGUUCGGAAUCACUGGGCGUAAAGCGCACGUAGGCGGAUGUGUCAGUCAGGGGUGAAAUCCCGGAGCUCAACUUCGGAACUGCCCUUGAUACAGCACGUCUUGAGUCCGAUAGAGGUGGGUGGAAUUCCUAGUGUAGAGGUGAAAUUCGUAGAUAUUAGGAAGAACACCGGUGGCGAAGGCGGGUCUCUGGGCCGAUACUGACGCUGAGGAGCGAAAGCGUGGGGAGCGAACAGG